ACUUAGGCAGAUUGGGCAACAUUCUUCAGUUUAUGGGGAUGGAAACCAAAGAUUGGCAUAUUACUUUUCCAAGGCCCUCGAGACACGUUUGGCUGGUACUGGGACACCUAAAUAUACACUACUUGUAGGCAACAAGACGCCAGUUUCUGAUAUCUUAAAAGCUUACCAGGUAUUUGUUAAGGCAUGCCCAUUCAAGAGAAUGUCAAAUUUCUUUGCUAAUCAAACCAUUUUCAAACAGGCAGAGAAAGCAACUAGACUCCACAUUAUUGAUUUUGGAAUUCUUUAUGGUUUUCAAUGGCCUUGCCUUAUCCA
rnacentral:misc_RNA from 1 species